AGAGUUUGAUCAUGGCUCAGAACAAACGCUGGCGGCGUGUCUUAAGCAUGCAAGUCGAGCGGCAAGGGCAGCAAUGCCCCUAGAGCGGCGGACUGGUGAGUAACGCGUGGGUGAUCUACCUGAGGCUUGGGGAUAGCCAUUAGAAAUAGUGGGUAAUACCGAAUACGAUCGUUAUCGUGAGGGUAACGAGGAAAGGUGCUACGGCAUCGGCCACAGAUGAGCUCGCGUCCCAUUAGCUAGUUGGUGAGGUAACGGCCCACCAAGGCGAUGAUGGGUAGCCGGCCUGAGAGGGUGUACGGCCACACUGGGACUGAGAUACGGCCCAGACUCCUACGGGAGGCAGCAGCUAAGAAUAUUCCGCAAUGGACGAAAGUCUGACGGAGCGACGCCGCGUGGAUGAAGAAGGCCGAAAGGUUGUAAAAUCCUUUUGCUGGGGAAGAAUAAGUCUGGGAGGGAAUGCCCGGAUGAUGACAUGAACCGGCGAAUAAGCCCCGGCCAACUACGUGCCAGCAGCCGCGGUAACACGUAGGGGGCGAGCGUUGUUCGGAAUUACUGGGCGUAAAGGGCAUGUAGGCGGCCUUGUAAGCUUGGCGUGAAAUACCAUGGCUCAACCAUGGGAAUGCGUUGAGAACUGCGAGGCUUGAGUGACGGAGAGGGAGCUAGAAUUCCUGGUGUAGGGGUGGAAUCUGUAGAGAUCAGGAAGAAUACCAAUGGCGAAGGCAAGCUCCUGGCCGAUGACUGACGCUGAGGUGCGAAAGUGUGGGGAUCAAACAGGAUUAGAUACCCUGGUAGUCCACACGGUAAACGAUGUGCACUAGGUGCUGGGGCGGAUGCCUCAGUGCCGUAGCUAACGUGAUAAGUGCACCGCCCGGGGAGUAUGCUCGCAAGGGUGAAACUCAAAGGAAUUGACGGGGGCCCGCACAAGCGGUGGAGCAUGUGGUUUAAUUCGAUGGUACGCGAGGAACCUUACCUGGGUUUGACAUACAGCGUGAUAGUCAAGAGAUUGGCUAGCGUAGCAAUACGACGCUGUACAGGUGCUGCAUGGCUGUCGUCAGCUCGUGCCGUGAGGUGUUGGGUUAAGUCCCGCAACGAGCGCAACCCCUACUGCCAGUUACUAACAGGUGAAGCUGAGGACUCUGGCGGAACUGCCGGUGACA
rnacentral:rRNA from 1 species